rnacentral:rRNA from 1 species
UACGUAGGUGGCAAGCGUUAUCCGGAUUUACUGGGUGUAAAGGGCGUGUAGGCGGGAAAGCAAGUCAGAUGUGAAAACCAUGGGCUCAACCUGUGGCCUGCAUUUGAAACUGUUUUUCUUGAGUACUGGAGAGGCAGACGGAAUUCCUAGUGUAGCGGUGAAAUGCGUAGAUAUUAGGAGGAACACCAGUGGCGAAGGCGGUCUGCUGGACAGCAACUGACGCUGAGGUGCGAAAGCGUGGGGAGCAAACAGG